UCUUACUACUGUCACCGAGACUUACUCCUCAAGCAUUCCUGUUUAAAGGCCUUGUAUCUGUAAGAUAAAAUUUAAUUGUGCACAUCAGCGCCUGGCGCUAAAUAUCUUUUACAGCGUGCAUAAAAAGCAGCUCGUGCCUCUCGUUUUAGCAGAUGUAGGGAAGAAAAGACUUCGGACGGAAGAUUGCAGGGACGGGGGCGCCCUGCAUGCGCAGGCACUGGGACAGACGAUGACAUCCCCCACCCGCGCCAUUGCGGGAGACCUCCGAGCCCAGCACUCCGUGAACCAGAAAGGCUGAGCAUGGAUGUGGGAAAGGAGAAGAAAAGAUUGUUUUUCUGUCCAGGUUUGGUCUCUGUGGUGGGUACUGCUGCACUGCGUGGGGACCACCUUUUCCUCGUCUAUUCAUCUACUGAAAGGCACAGCGGUGGAUUCCAUACCUUGGCUCUUGUGAGCGGUGUGAGCCCAAACACAAUUAGAUGGAAAGGGUGUCCAAACGAUGAAGACAUUUUCCCCCAAUGAGCAGCAACCCACCCACGGUGUCAGUGUGUUCUCCGAACUGGCUGCUUAAUGACGGUCGGAUUCCUGCCCAGCUCCUACCGCCUGCAGCUCCGGGAGGCGCCUACGCGACCCAGAGGCUGGUGACAGGACACAGCGUCGGCAGGGGGAGGGGAGCGGCCUGCAGUCUGGCCUCUCCAGGGACCCUGCUGACUUUUCAUUUUGUUAACUGAGGGCUGCUGGGGAGGAGGUUAGAUCCAGGUGUGUGACAUGCGUGCAUGGAGCUGUCACAGUGAGGAUAUCGUUCUAGGUAAUUAAUAGGCAUUAAUAAAAAAUUCAAGAAAUUAUAUCAAGAAAUGUACAGGGGUUAAAACCAUCAAAAUUGCAUCGUGUUGGGAAUUUUUGUUAAGAAAGUGCAUUUUGGUUGCUUUUGUCUCAAAUAAGUAACCGUAUGAAGUGACAGACCUGUUAUCGACUUCACCAUAGUAACCAUGUCCCUCUUUUUAUCCUUUAACAUCACGAUGUAAUCCUUAAUAUACACAAUGAAAUUUAAUAAAAAGACCUGGAGAACGGAGUUCUCAAAGGGCUCCAGAUGUCCAAGCUAUCAGCAAAACCUGUAAAGCUGCACACAACAGGGUGCGUCUACUGACCCCUGCCCUGCUUGUCCCUUGGCCCUGGCCCCCUGACACCCACAAUGCAGUUGAAGGCCUUUUCUGGAUUUAUAGAAUGGAAGCUCAAGCCACUUUAAAAAAAAAUCCAUCUUACUUUAUGGACUGAGAAAAUAAUGAUCAUCUCCCUUCUCACAAAAUCUAUGCAGCAUUUGUGCCUGCACUUUAUGACUAUAAACAUGUCCUCCCUGAUGGAAGGAUUCUCAGUGAGAUCUUGUAUUCACUCGUUGUUGCUGCUAUAACAAAUCACCACAAAGCCAGAGGAAUAAAAUGCCCUCAAGCUCAUGAUCAUACAGUUCUGGGGGGUGGAAGUCCGAUAGGGGUCUAACAGCGGCACACAAGACCCCCAGACAAGGGCUGAGGUGAUUUCAGAUGCUCCAAGGGAGAAUCUAUUCCUGUGCCUUUGUCCCCUCCUUGAGACAGUCUGCAUUCCAUGGCUUGUGGUCUCCUCCUCCAUCAUCAAAGCCAGCAACGUGGCAUGAUCUGGUCUUUGCUGUCUCCCAUCUAUCCUGUCCUGAUUCUUUAAUCAUUGCAUUGCUCCAUCAAAAGAUGCUUCCACCUCAAAAUCCUUAACCUAAGGACCUAACGACAUCUGAAAAGUCCCUUCUGGAAUGGAAGGAAACAUGUUUACAGGGGAUUAGGGUAUGGACAGAUUUUACCUUCCUUCCACCAAGGUUCAGGGCUGGGAUGGUUCAAAUGUACUAUUUUGGGCCAAAUGCUUUCAUUUAAUUCCUAUGAUGAGGACAGUCAGCCACAUAUUUAGUCGUAGAGAAGGAAAAGUAGCUACAGAUAGUGGAAAUAAACCUAGAGAAAACAUCAAGGCCCACUGAUGCUUUUCCAUGACACAGGAAAAUUGAUUUGUAUUUGUCUGGUAGAUUUUACGGACAGAGCAAGUGCCCAUAUUACUGAAGUUUGAAAUGUUACCCAAAACAGAACAUGGAGGCUAUUCUCGUUUUCUAGAAAUUUUUAGAUCUUUUUUUGUAUGUGGCUAUGUUAAAUGAUCUAAUGAGGAAAUAAGUAGAAAUUAUCAAGCUGUGGACUUGAGUUUUAUACUUAAAUAAAUACAUAUCUUUCUGGUAACAGGUAUCACCAGUGGACAGGGCUAUUAACAGUGGGCUUCUAGUGAAUGAAUGUGAUUCCAUGGGGAAAGCCACUGUUGUGAGAUUUUUGUGGAGUGCAUUGUUUGCAU